AACGAACGCUGGCGGCAUGCCUAACACAUGCAAGUCGAACGAGACCUUCGGGUCUAGUGGCGCACGGGUGCGUAACGCGUGGGAACCUGCCCUUAGGUUCGGAAUAACUCCCCGAAAGGGGUGCUAAUACCGGAUAAUGUCUUCGGACCAAAGAUUUAUCGCCUUUGGAUGGGCCCGCGUUGGAUUAGCUAGUUGGUAGGGUAAAAGCCUACCAAGGCGACGAUCCAUAGCUGGUCUGAGAGGAUGAUCAGCCACACUGGGACUGAGACACGGCCCAGACUCCUACGAGAGGCAGCAGUGGGGAAUAUUGGACAAGGGGCGAAAGCCUGAUCCAGCAAUGCCGCGUGAGUGAUGAAGGCCUUAGGGUUGUAAAGCUCUUUUACCCGGGAUGAUAAUGACAGUACCGGGAGAAUAAGCUCCGGCUAACUCCGUG
rnacentral:rRNA from 1 species